rnacentral:rRNA from 1 species
UACGAAGGGGGCUAGCGUUGCUCGGAAUCACUGGGCGUAAAGGGUGCGUAGGCGGGUCUUUAAGUCAGGGGUGAAAUCCUGGAGCUCAACUCCAGAACUGCCUUUGAUACUGAAGAUCUUGAGUUCGGGAGAGGUGAGUGGAACUGCGAGUGUAGAGGUGAAAUUCGUAGAUAUUCGCAAGAACACCAGUGGCGAAGGCGGCUCACUGGCCCGAUACUGACGCUGAGGCACGAAAAGCGUGGGGGAGCAAACAGG